GACUCGCUAGCUCAGUUGGUAGAGCAACAGACUCUUAAUCUGUGGGUCCUGGGUUCGACCCCCAGGCGGGUCA
rnacentral:tRNA from 1 species